AGGCUGAGGCUGCUCGGAGACUCCUGGAUCUGCGGUAUCACACUCUUACUGAAAGGGAACUGGUUAAUAAUAACUUAGAGAGUCCUCACUGAUUCUGACCUCUGUCUGUGAUGGAAAGUGGGUUUCAGUUACUGUUUUAUAAAGAGGCAAACACCGCAUACUCUGUGCUCCCAGUGUCACACGGGCACUUUCUUUCAACCCUCUCAGCCUGCCAGAGUGGAGGUUAUCACCUUUUACGACUUGGGAAACCAUGAUGUUGUGAUCCUAUGUCUCCUGGACAGGGAAAUGCAUCAACAGAACAAGGAUUUUUACACCAAGUCUGUUUCUUCUCAGAGCUGGUUCUUGGGUGACACCACCCUACCCCUCCCAGGAAGGCUAAAGUUCUCCCUUCUUCAGUCCAUUUCAGGUCGCCUGAAGCUUCCACUCAGAAGCUCCGACGCAGGUUUCCGCAGAACGCUCCUUCGGGUCAGGGAGGGCCCCGCCUGGGGAAGGUGCAGGCGGCCUGCUAACCUGUCCUGCUGGGGCCCUGUGGCUUCUGGCACUCACCAUCACGCACUGCCCUGACCACGCCUAUCACGGAGGCUGGAUAAAUGACAAGUGAAGUGUUGAUGCCAAUUUCAAGACCUGAAGAUACAGCCAUUGAUGAAACUGGCAAUAUUAAUGAGGUUAAACCACACAGCACAGAGUCAUUCACCUCUUAAAAAUAGGGAGAUCAUGCACCUGUCUCUGUUCUAAAAGGCUUGGUCUCUACUCCUGACCAUUUCCACGGAUUUGAAUUGAUCUGAGGGGCCAACAAGGUGACACCGAAGGCCACGGAUGAGAAUAAGCAGCUCAAAGUUGCCUCCUUAGCACCAUGUUGUGAUCAACCGACUGAAGGUCAUUUAGUUAUUUUUACUUAUUUUUAUAUCAUUAAACAUGGGGAUGUGACCCCAAGAUUCAUAAGGCUAAUUCUAAAUAUCACUGUGUGAUAUUCUCUCCUAGCAAUUCCUACCGUAUGAGCCAAGGCUCCUGCUGGUGGGAGGGGAGGGGGAUUGUUUCAAAAGGUGCACAAAUCCACACACGCACCAAAGAGGACCAAAGUAUCUCACGCUUGCAGCUUGCAAAUGUCUGCGGAAAUUUUGUGAUGAAUAAAAUAAAAUGUUACAAUCUCACAGAAUCCAUGGUAGAUCACUAACAUUAUGUAUAAACUAAAGUAAAUUAAUAUCAUGCAGAAAAUCUGUGGCGUUUUCACCAAUAAAAAUUGGUCCUUGUUAAAUACUGAGCAAAGACAACUCUGUUGAGUCAGAAAGUGCAUUAGCGGGUGUCUGGGGCUGGAGGUGGGGAUGGGGAUUACCUGUGUGUGGGCACGAGGGAGCUUACUGGGGUGAUGGGACACUGUAGAUCUGAAUCAGGGUAAUGGCUGCACAAUACAGUAAAUUUACCAAAAAAAAAAAAAAAACCCAAACCCCCAAAAAUCACUGAAUUUUACACUUCAAGUGGGUGAAGGUUAUGGUAUCUAAAUUAUGUCUCAAUAAAGUUGCUUUAAAAUGCAGGCUGAGGCCUGAAUUUGAAAGAAAAAAAACCCCAACAGUGGCCCUUGAGGUUCUCAUUUUCAUGACCAGAAAUUCACAUGUGCAAUGGGAGAGACUAAAGUCAUUCCCUGUGUAUCAUUUACUUGUCACUCAUCGGAGACCCACACUUCUGUUAAUCCUCACGGAAGAAAAAGGAUUAACACACUUCCCCUGCACUCAAUGCUCACUCCCUUUGGUGUCCUCCUUGAGAGGGAGAAGAGGACGUUUACGUUCACAACACAGGUCCACAGUACCAACCCUCCAAACACGAAACACACACGCACACACACCCCUAUAGAGCAAGCUUCUGCCAAGUGUCCUUGCUUGGGCUGACCUAGAGAUCGUAAGAAGACCAGGGUGGCAUAUUUGCAGCUCCCCUUCUCUUCUGAGAUGACUUUUGCAGGACUGAGUGAAGGUGGCUGGCGGGGGAUUGGGGCACCAAUUCUCCAACUGCCGAGUUUCGGAUGAGGCAUGGCACACGCCGAGUAGCCCUGCUCCCUGGUCCCCAUCCUGGUAAGGAACAUCGUUGUUCUCAUCCCAGUCCCCGCCCAGCCCUGUGCUCACUGCCAGGCGCCCAUGCAGUGCUGCCCUUUGAGAAAAACAGGAUUGCAAUCGCCAACCAUGAAACUUAAAAAGGACUGAGUAUAAACUCUUCU